UUUAAAUUUAGAGUUUGAUCCUGGCUCAGGACGAACGCUGGCGGCGUGCUUAACACAUGCAAGUCGAGCGAUGAAGCUUCCUUCGGGAAGUGGAUUAGCGGCGGACGGGUGAGUAACACGUGGGUAACCUGCCUCAAAGUGGGGGAUAGCCUUCCGAAAGGAAGAUUAAUACCGCAUAAUAUAGGAGAAUCGCAUGAUUUUCUUAUCAAAGAUUUAUUGCUUUGAGAUGGACCCGCGGCGCAUUAGCUAGUUGGUAAGGUAACGGCUUACCAAGGCAACGAUGCGUAGCCGACCUGAGAGGGUGAUCGGCCACAUUGG
rnacentral:rRNA from 1 species